rnacentral:rRNA from 1 species
GUGGGGAAUAUUGGACAAUGGGCGAAAGCCUGAUCCAGCAAUGCCGCGUGAGUGAUGAAGGCCUUAGGGUUGUAAAGCUCUUUUACCCGGGAUGAUAAUGACAGUACCGGGAGAAUAAGCCCCGGCUAACUCCGUGCCAGCAGCCGCGGUAAUACGGAGGGGGCUAGCGUUGUUCGGAAUUACUGGGCGUAAAGCGCGCGUAGGCGGCUUUGUAAGUCAGAGGUGAAAGCCUGGAGCUCAACUCCAGAACUGCCUUUGAAACUACAUCGCUAGAAUCGUGGAGAGGUAAGUGGAAUUCCGAGUGUAGAGGUGAAAUUCGUAGAUAUUCGGAAGAACACCAGUGGCGAAGGCGACUUACUGGACACGUAUUGACGCUGAGGUGCGAAAGCGUGGGGAGCAAACAGGAUUAGAUACCCGUGUAGUCC